rnacentral:rRNA from 1 species
AUUGAACGCUGGCGGCAGGCCUAACACAUGCAAGUCGAACGGUAACAGGAAGAAGCUUGCUUCUUUGCUGACGAGUGGCGGACGGGUGAGUAAUGUCUGGGAAACUGCCUGAUGGAGGGGGAUAACUACUGGAAACGGUAGCUAAUACCGCAUAACGUCGCAAGACCAAAGAGGGGGACCUUCGGGCCUCUUGCCAGCGGAUGUGCCCAGAUGGGAUUAGCUAGUAGGUGGGGUAACGGCUCACCUAGGCGACGAUCCCUAGCUGGUCUGAGAGGAUGACCAGCCACACUGGAACUGAGACACGGUCCAGACUCCUACGGGAGGCAGCAGUGGGGAAUAUUGCACAAUGGGCGCAAGCCUGAUGCAGCCAUGCCGCGUGUAUGAAGAAGGCCUUCGGGUUGUAAAGUACUUUCAGCGGGGAGGAAGGGAGUAAAGUUAAUACCUUUGCUCAUUGACGUUACCCGCAGAAGAAGCACCGGCUAACUCCGUG